CCACACCCCCCAGGAACUGAAGUCCUCUGUUUAUCCAUGGAACAGUACAGCAUGCUGGGCAAGUUACCCAUACACCAUCUCACCAGUGGAUGUCACCUACACCCUAGAAGUCCCAUUGCUUGUGGCGAGAAAGAAGUUCACUCCUUGGUCUUAUUGAGCAUAUUCUGCA
ensembl:misc_RNA